GUAUCCCGUAUCUGGUCCAAAGGACACUUGGGAGAUCAUGGACAGGAGCUGUGAUUCUCUAGGAGAGUUUAUAAGGUGGAACGUCAAGCAGCAAGAGACUAAAGACUUCAAGAUGGAAAAUGAAAGCACAGCAAGUUGUCAUGGCUGCAGAACUCUGAUGUGGGGCCGGGUGAUUUGACAUAUAAGGUCUGGCUGGCCUUGGGCUUCCUGUCUCUGGAGGAACAUUCACAAUAAACUGGGGAACUACUUUCUGGGAAUGCUACACACACACCACACAUGCGUACACAGCUGAAUGAAGAGGACUCCUAGGACCUAGAAGAGGACAGAGCCCUAAAGAAGAUGGAAGAAGCACCGGUACCGAGCGACCAUGUAGAAGCCUGCCCAACCAAGAACCCCCUGGAUGAUUCUGCUGUGAAAAAUGAACUUUUGUUAUGUUAAACGACAGAGAAGUUGGGACUUAUCUAUUAUAGCAGUUCACAGCAGUUUCUUUUAGGGGGAAUAAAAGGGCUUGCUCCGCAAUCUGCCUUUAUUGUUUCACUGGAGAGGAGAAGCAAAACAUAUUUCAAUCAGAAGAAUUAUACCUGAGCGCUGUAACUGUUUCCAGAGCCAACAGAGAAAGCCGUGAUACAUUUAAGCGUCAUGGAAUUUGUUCAUCAGAACGAAAUGUGUGAAAUACACCCAAAGACUCUUUGCCAGUCCAAUAUGCAAAGAAACCAACAAUGAGCUUAAAAACUGUUUUGUUUUGUUGGGUCAAUUGACUGAAAAAAGAUGGGGACAAUUCGUCAUUCAUCAAUCGGUGCCAGAAAAAAAAAUCAGUGUUAUUUUUAGAGGUAGUGAUAUACAAACAGGAAAGCAGACAAGAGGAGACCCACCAUGGACCGCCUGUGGAGUUUUGAUCAAGUCGCUCAGCCUUUUUGGGCCUCAAGGGCACACAGUUGGUGGCGGAGCCGAGCUGAUCAUCUGUGACUCUCAUCUCACAGUUUGUGUUCUGAAUCCACUAUCCUCCAUGGAGACAGACACCAUCAAGGACAAGCACCUGGACUAUCUCCUCCUGCAAAGAGAUAUGGACUGGUGGGAAAGCUGCUGACCAGCAAGGUCAUGAGCUCCCUCCUCUCUGCAAGUGUCUCAAGGCCAAAGACAGGCUGGUGGGAAAGCUCCGACCAGCAAGGCCAUAUGCUCCCCCUCCCCUACCUAAAACCCCAAAUAAAAACCCGUCCUUUUAGCUUUUCGGGGAGUUUGGGAUUUCAGCGUUAGCUGCCCUCUCUCCUUGCUCAGCGCUGUGCAAAAAUAAAAUUCCUGCUUUCUUCCACCACCCCUGGUGUCAGAGAUUGGCUUGCUGUGCAACGGGUGAGCGAACUCACUUCGGGUUCGGUAACAGUUUCUCUAACCUUCCUCCGUGGUGGCGCCAGCCAGGACAGGUGCUUUUGUACCUCAAGGAACUAGUUACUGUCUUUCUGGAGGUUUCUUAGUAAAAUGCCAUGGAAAAGGGAAGAAGCCAAGGCUGGCAGGAGGGAUGUGGG
rnacentral:lncRNA from 1 species